rnacentral:lncRNA from 1 species
GCUCUCUCUCCCUCCAACUAUAUCCAUACAGCCCCUUAACCAAUCUCACACACAAAUUAACUUUGAUCUCGAACUGAUUGUAGAGCUUUCACUCAUACUGAGCUUGAAGAUCUCAGGUCCCUGCUCGCGUCGUUAGCUGCUCAGUCACACAGCGACGCCCAAUUCAUCUCUCCCUCAGUUUUCAGAAGCUAUUGGAUUUGAUUAUGUUGUUGGAGCUCAAAAGUUGCAUAUAUUCAAGAAGCCGUGAAGACCAGGUUUUUAAAACUCCUAGAGGCAGAGGUUUGGAAGUUUAAGGAUUGUGUUCCAAG